GCCCAGUGUGGUGUAGUGGUUUGAGCAUUGGACUGUGACUCUGAAGACCAGGGUUCAAGUCUCCAAUUGGCCA